UACGGGGGGGGCAAGCGUUGUUCGGAAUUACUGGGCGUAAAGGGCUCGUAGGUGGCCAACUAAGUCAGACGUGAAAUCCCUCGGCUUAACCGGGGAACUGCGUCUGAUACUGGAUGGCUUGAGUUCGGGAGAGGGAUGCGGAAUUCCAGGUGUAGCGGUGAAAUGCGUAGAUAUCGGGAGGAACAUCUGUGGCGAAGGCGACACCCUGGACCAGCACUGACACUGAGGCACGAAAGCGUGGGGAGCAAACAGG
rnacentral:rRNA from 1 species